GCUCCUGUAGUAUAACUUGGAUAGUACGCGGGCUUGCGGAGCCUGUGAUGCGGGUUCAAAUCCCGUCAGGGGCGC
rnacentral:tRNA from 1 species